GGAUCGCAAGACCUUGCGCUUUUGGAGCGGCCGAUGUCUGAUUAGCUAGUUGGUGAGGUAAAGGCUUACCAAGGCGACGAUCAGUAGCUGGCCUGAGAGGACGACCAGCCACACUGGGACUGAGACACGGCCCAGACUCCUACGGGAGGCAGCAGUGGGGAAUUUUGGACAAUGGGGGAAACCCUGAUCCAGCCAUGCCGCGUGAGUGAAGAAGGCCUUCGGGUUGUAAAGCUCUUUCAGCCGGAACGAAAAGGUCACGGCUAAUACCCGUGACAAAUGACGGUACCGGAAGAAGAAGCACCGGCUAACUACGUGCCAGCAGCCGCGGUAAUACGUAGGGUGCAAGCGUUAAUCGGAAUUACUGGGCGUAAAGCGUGCGCAGGCGGUUUCGUAAGUCAGAUGUGAAAUCCCCGGGCUUAACCUGGGAACUGCGUUUGAA
rnacentral:rRNA from 1 species